GUACAAGAGAACAAAAAAAAAUCAUCACCACAAAGAAAAAAUACAAAGCUAAAGGUUCCGGACCUCUGGGGCAGAAGUAGAGGGGCUCGGCGUCCCUGAAAGAUCGUCAGUGGCAGUCGCGAUGGUCGACGAGGUCCCGGCUGGGAGAGGACCGGCAGUAGCUUCGGAUGGUCUGGCUUCAUCAUCGGAUGCCUCGUUCAGAAAGUCAAGAUCCAAUUCGAAAAACCUCCCAGCCACCUUCUCUUGGCAGAGUUUGAAAUCCUUGAUGAAGGCGUCUUGGCCGAACUAGACUUUUAGAUCCUCCAUCUCGGAGGAGGCUUUGAACUCCUCCACUGCUCGAACCCUUGCCUCUGAGACUCGAGACGGGAUCCGCGCUUUCAGCUCAAAAAUCUGCGCCUUCAACUCAGAAACCUGUGCCUUCAAUGCGGAGACCUCGGCCUCAGCCUUCCCUCUCUCCUCCUCCAAGACGGUCCUCAGAUCGGACGAGGUUUGUCCCUUCUUUUCCAGCACCUCCCGAAGACUUAGGAUCUCGGCAAUCUUCUCCUCGAGGUGGGCGGCCCCAAUCAGACGACCUUCCUCUGCACGAGCUGCCUCCCUCUUGGCAAUCUUCACCGCCUCGACGUUGGCGACAAACUGAUGCCCAAUCUGCAAGAAAGGUCAGGGAGUCAAUAUAAAGGCUGAAGAAUAAAUUAAGAAGCAGGAAGGAGAAAAAAGAUGAGUUAACCUACUUCGAGGAAAGAUCCUAGAGAGUUCCAGACCCACAGCUCGAGAUCGGCAAGGAUGAUCCUCUCGACGACCUCGGGCAGAAUGCACCCUUCGACCAGCCUCUUUAUUAAGUCCCUAUUGUUGAAG
rnacentral:lncRNA from 1 species